rnacentral:tRNA from 2 species
GGUCGAGUUGCCUAGUGGUUUAGGGCGUCUCUCUGCAAAAGAGAUAUUCGUGGGUUCAAAUCCCACCUCGACCU